GGGGACAAUUGUCAUGGCACUAACAAUGGCCAGACACGACAUGGGAGCCCCCAUCGCACAUAUGUCAUGCAUUGCAUCAGUGGCCAAGCCCCAGUCUGACGAGAACCACGAGCCACGCCCAGCCAUAUGCUCGCCCAUGCAUCACAUUACGCAUACGCACAGUGGCCGGGGCCAAAACAAUGGAAGAUACAACGAAGAAUGCCCCCAGCAUAUUACCCCAUUACGAAUAGCACAUUGUUGGGUAACAUUGCGGCCAAGAUCUGGCGAUAUGGUUUGAUGGGAAUCGGAAAGGGGCUACCCAGCAAACUUACAUCAUUGACCCGUGGCCUUUUCAAGUCCUUGACCUUAGCCGUGGCCUCGCCCCCACUAGUGGCCACUGACGGGGCACCACAUCAUCAGAAAGCGUCCGAUAGACGGGAAUGGCAGCAAAAA
rnacentral:sRNA from 1 species